rnacentral:rRNA from 1 species
AGACUACCCGCUGAACUUAAGCAUAUCAAUAAGCGGAGGAAAAGAAACCAACAGGGAUUGCCUCAGUAACGGCGAGUGAAGCGGCAAAAGCUCAAAUUUGAAAUCCCCCGGGAAUUGUAAUUUGAAGGUGGCCUCAGUUAGUCCAAACAUUCUUAAGUCCAUUGGAAAAUGGCGCCAUGGAGGGUGAUAGCCCCGUAAAGAUGUCGUUUGUUCUAUUUUCUCUGGCCACCAAAGAGUCGAGUUGUUUGGGAAUGCAGCUCUAAGUGGGUGGUAAAUUCCAUCUAAAGCUAAAUAUUGGCGAGAGACCGAUAGCGAACAAGUACAGUGAUGGAAAGAUGAAAAGCACUUUGAAAAGAGAGUGAAAAAGUACGUGAAAUUGUUGAAAGGGAAGGGCUUGCAAGCAGACACAACCUCGUGUUGGGCCAGCAUCGGGGCGAGAGGAAGUAAAAACGAUUUGGAAAUGUAACUUUCGAGUAUUAUAGACCUUAUCCCUCCCUUCCAUCUCAUCCCGAGGCCUGCGGU